UGUGUGUGUGUGUGUGUGUGUAUAUAUUCCAGUUUUAUAUUCUUGUUAUGGGAGACAAUAAUGAUUCUCGAUUCUGAUUGGUUGAAAGGUGUUGAUGUCGUCUCUGAAGACACAUUUAUUUAACACUUAUGGAAGGAGUCUCCGGAGUCUCGGCGGUAAAGCCGUGUUUCCCGACAUGGAAAAGGUUUCAGGGCCGAGAACUUUUCAGUUUCUUAUGAACUUCAAGAGAAGUCUUUAUUAGGUCGCAUGAAUUAUAUCAUCUGAUUUGCGAACAUUAUAAGGUGACGCUUUGGAGAUGUAAUGUUUUAUCCCCCAGAGUACUCCAAAAUAAGCUGUGAGGCUUAACGCUAGCAUCUUAAGCUAACUGCUAAUCAGGCGAGCAGCGUUUGUCCUUCAGCGCUGAUCUCCUCAGCGGGGUUAAGUUGGAAAUCCCCGGCCUAAUCCCAGCGUAGCAGGGUUAACCGAGGCCAAGAGGAACGGGAGCGUGUUCGUUUUGAAGGUACAGGGCAGUUGGUAGGAAAGGAGGGACUGGUAGCGAGCAUCUCGCCUCGCUUUAACGAUCGAUGAAGUCUUCCUGGCUGCAGAGGACUUGUACUUGGAUAGGGCGCUUGAUGUCGUUGUGGCGCAAGUGCCGCAGGAAGGUGACGCUGGUGAUGGUGGGACUGGACAAUGCUGGGAAAACCGCCACAGUACGGGGCAUCCAGGGAGAGAGUCCUCUAGACGUGGCCCCAACGGUGGGCUUCUCCAAAGUGGACCUAAAGCAGGGCAAGUUCGAGGUCACGAUAUUUGACCUCGGCGGCGGGAAGCGGAUCCGGGGCAUCUGGAAGAACUACUACUCCGAGUCGUAUGGCGUGGUGUUCGUGGUGGACUCGAGCGACGUCCAGAGGAUCCAUGAGACCAGAGACACCAUGGCGGAAGUGCUGCGGCACCCUCGCAUCGCCGGAAAGCCUGUGCUAGUGCUGGCCAACAAACAGGACCGAGACGGAGCGAUGGCUGAAGCGGACAUCAUCGAGAACCUGUCACUUGAAAAGCUUGUCAAUGAGAACAAGUGUCUGUGUCAGAUUGAACCGUGCUCGGCAGUCCUGGGCUACGGUAAGAAGAUCGACAAGUCCAUCAAGAACGGCCUGAACUGGCUCCUGAACAACAUCGCCAAAGACUACGAGGCGAUUACAGAGCGCGUUCAGAGGGACACGGCCGAGCAGCGUGUACAAGAGGAGCAGGAUAAGAAGGAGAGAGCGGAGCGAGUGAAACGGAUUCGAGAGGAGAGAGACAGACAAGAGUGUGAAGAGGCGGAGAAAGCAGGCAGGCAAAUAAAGGAGGAGGAGUCUGAGGACGCCGAUAUGUCCAACCCAUUCCAGCCAAUAAACCAUAUUGUUGCGGAGAAUGAAAACAAGUCGAAACAAGAAACGGAGAUGAAAAAGCAGGGAGGAGAGGUCGUGCAGGACGGCAAAGAAGAAGAGGAGGAGGAGGAGGAAGAGGAAGAGAGUGAAAGACAGACUCCAGAGAGCCCAGAAUCAGGUCCAACAGACCAGACCAAAAAGAAGAUGAAGAAAAUACGGCUCAAGCGGAAAAACAGAGUCGACCCUCUCGUAACGGACGACGCAGCCAAGAGCCCGACUCCACCACCCGCACCAGUUGGAUGGGCUACUCCCAAAGUUUCUAGACUCCCCAAGCUCGAACCUCUUGGAGAUUCAAGGCGUUCUGCAGUCUCUCACACUUUCACAGAUCAUGCUUCAGCCUCAAUGAGUCCGCUGUAUCUCACCAUGCUUUCAGCAUGCAUGCUCAUGACACAGGAAAUCAUCUCUCCAUCUCUUGUCUUCUACAGUGUGGCCAGUAGUAUCUACUAAUCCCCCUCCUUUUUUUUAAACCAUGAAAUAAUCCUGUACUUUUCUUACUUUAGCUGUUCUGUAGGUUUGUUGUUCAGCCAGUAUAGUAUGACCAUGUGUUUACAUGCUUUUAAUGCAAGUCAAGGCAACUGGACUUUUAUUCCUGUGGAAUAAAAUAGAUUCUUCUGUUGAAAGCCACUUCAAGUGACGCAGAAAGGAGAUGUAAAUUACAGGCACUGGUGUUGGGUGAGGAGGUCCGGUGUGCAGUUCAUCUCGAAGGUCUUCAGUCGGGAUGAGUCGGCUUGAUUCGAUUCGAUUCUCGUAUUACUUUUUUUUAACAAUAUUUAAAUAAAGCAAAAUUAUGACUGAAAACUUUUAUUUCCGAAUCAUAAACAGUGCAAAACAACGUGUUUUUUUUUUUGUUGUUUUUUUUUUUGUCAGUUUAAAACUAAGUAAAGUUAAAAAAUGAUGCAUGCAUGUUUAAUAUUGCAAACAAAAUGGCCUACAGGUUCACCGUAUCUUUAAAAAAUUCUAAAUAAAUUUAUAAAGUGUCUGACCUGGGCGAAAUAAUCAGUUGAAACAUGAUGCGCUCUGUAGCAGAAAUAGAGCUCCAAAGUCGGCUAAACUGGACGCUUUCUGCAGCCUCUGGUGGUGUUUGAAAGCUAGAGAGGGCAGGGCUCUGUGCAGGAGAUCUUUUACUCCAACCUUGGCAAACCAUGUCUUCAUGGAGCUCGCUUUGUGCACGGGGCAUCGUCGUGCUCGAAGGUUUGAGCCCGUUGGUUCCAGUGAAGGGAAUCGUAAUGCUACGGCAUAUAAAGACAUUUUAUACAGUUGUUUAGGGAAGGGUCCACGUACAAGUGUGAUGGUCAGGUGUCCAUAUACUUUUGGCCAUAUAGUGUGUGUGUGUCUGUACUUGAGAGAGAAUACUGACCGGUCCAAUUGUCUUGACUUUCUACUUUCAUGUAGCGGAAAUGAUCUGGAUGAUUGAAACAUCUUCGUUAAUAUCUGAUCACAGCGCUGUGUGUUGAGUGUGUUUUCCAUCUGAUACACUCGAUCCAUUAGCGUAACACUGCUGGAGCGGGAUUAACACUUCAUUAUACACUACUGUGUUCAACGCUGAAUCAGGGGUUCAACUGUGAUUUGCUGUUACAGCUUUUAAGAUUUCUAUGGCAGGCCCCUCCCACCUGUAGCAAUUAGACAGAGACCAAAUGCCCACGCCGUGUAAAUACGCAACAAUCACCAGCCAGUGUCGGCGAGAGGAACCAAUCAGCUUGCUAAGAGGGAUCAUGUGACCAGCCAAGGAUUGGGAAUUCCACAGAGACUCGUGGUUUAUUUGAAACUUUCAGCAGUGACCGAAUUUGGAUCUACAAAAGUAGACAUUUUAUUUUUUCCACCAAAAGAAGAAGCGUUAAUCUCCAACGAUAAGAUUAUAGCGUUCAUCGAAUUGUCUGUGUAUAAAUCUUUAUUUUUAGACUGAAUCACAUAUAACUGUGAAAUCUGCGCUUUUUUGAGACAGGAGAUAUUAGUAUAUAUUAAAUAACACUACAACUGUGCUGAACAGAACUUGCUCCCGCUCGUGCACACGCUCGUUGUCAAGCUGUUGGGAUUAAAAACACCAUGAAGGCUUGUGCAUCAGCAUGUGAUGAUGAAAGGUACUGGUAUUUGAUGUCGUUUCCAACCUGCUGGGGUUCCAGAUGUUCUGAAAGUGAACACUUUUUUAUUUUUUAUCAGGAUUUUGCUGGUGUACAUGCCCACCACAACUUCCAGAAUCUCACCAGCAGCUAACAACAAAACAUAUUGUUAAAGGAAAAAUUCACCCUGAACUUCUUUAUCAUGAACAUGUGAUCAACAGCAUCCAAGAUUUAUUUUGUAAGGAAAUUCUGAGUUUAAGUUUAAACGUCUCGUAUCAACAUGUUGGUCUAUUUUUCCUACGUUACCCACAAUGCCACAAUGUGACUUCCUGCUGAUCAUUGUAACAGCCCUGGCUUCAUCUCUACAUAAAGAGAGCGAUGCAGGGGCGCUUUAGUCCUUUAGUCUGUCCAGUUCACUCACCUCCUCAUCUGUACACUCUCUUUAAACAGACCGGCUUCCAAAGCUUUUAUGCCGAUACCAUCGUCAACGCCAUCACGCUCGUCAUCUCGGAGAUCUCUAGCCGAGCCGAGUCUCUGACGUAGCUUCGUAUCGUAUAGCUGCAUUGCAUUCUGGGGCUUUUUUUUUAGGCCAGGGUCUUGCACCGACGUCUCCACUACUUCUGCGCUGAAUUUCUGGUUAAUAAAUAUUACGCACUACAGAAAUGGUGAGUGAGGAAAAGAAGCUGAAGGUUAUCCGUUUUGUUUGAAAUGUAUUCUUCAAGCAUAACUUCUCACAGAAAGAAUGAAAAUACAGAACCAACCAACGAAUAAGCACCUCGCAGAUAUUUAACGUGUUUCAGGGUGGAGUUUUCCUUUAAAGUGAAUAUUUUCCCGAUGGGAAACACACAGCAGAAUUCUUUAACCAGUGCGCCGAGAAGCAUUUCACUUUCACUGGUUUAUGGACACUUUAUGUAUUUCUGUUGCUAAGCCGAAGCAUGUACGGACUACAGCGUAGUGCUUUGUUUGAAAAGGGCAGUGUUUGUUUUUUAUUUUUAGUUUUAGGUUUGUUU